UACGUAGGGGGCAAGCGUUGGUCCGGAAUCAUUGGGCGUAAAGCGCGUGUUAGGCGGCCCCGAUAAAGUCCGCUGUGAAAAGUCCAGGGCUCAACCCUGGGAUGCCGGUGGAUACUGUCGGGCUCGAGUCCGGAAGAGGAGUGUGGAAUUCCUGGUGUAGCGGUGAAAUGCGCAGAUAUCAGGAGGAACACCAUGCGAAGGCAGCACUCUGGGGCAACAACU
rnacentral:rRNA from 1 species